GAUGAACGCUAGCGGCAGGCUUAAUACAUGCAAGUCGUGGGGCAGCAGGAGUAGCAAUACUUGCUGGCGACCGGCAAACGGGUGCGUAACACGUACGCAACUUUCCUUCAAGCGGGGAAUAGCCCGGGGAAACCCGGACUUAAUACCCUACUAUUAUAUUUGUAAUGGCAUCAUUUAAAUUAAUUAAAGACUUCGGCACUUGAUGAUGGGCGUGCGGCUGAUUAGGUAGUUGGCGGAGUAAAGCCCA
rnacentral:rRNA from 1 species